CAGGGAUUGCAGCGGCAUCUUUUUUUGCUUUUUGGCAAAAAAAAUAUAGCGGAAAGCCCGCCCGGAC
rnacentral:sRNA from 1 species